GGGCUCACCUGCUCCUGGCCAGGGCUUGAUUAUGCCAACUGGUGGAACGAGAGCUGCCCAGGAGAUACAAAUUCCCACAUUUGGAGAUGAUGAGCAGCUGAGUGGCUGGAUAGAGAAUCCCACUGGUGUCCUAAUGGCAGAGACGUAUUGCAGCUGUCUCCCUGUGGUGGCUUACAUGAACUGCAAGGGGCAGGCAGCCUGCGUGGAGCAUUUCUCCUCUCCGGUGGGUUCUUGGCUGCACUGUACCGGGCAGGAUGGUAUGGCUGCAAAGGCAAGAAAUGCAGCUUUCCCCAAGAAUCGCUCUGCAGUUAUUCUCCGCUAUUGGCUUUGAUGCUGAAGCCCAUGAAGUUCUCUGCCUCAGACUUGGCAGAGAACAAACAUGUUGGGGAUGAAGAGGGAUGAUGUAGCUCCUAUUUCCUUCAGUGUAACUGCUAUGAACCCUGAUGUGACUACACUGGGCUAAAAAACGAGUGCAGCUGUGGCAGAACACAUUGAUCAAGCCCAGACAAAUCACACAUCAGGUCAGUAGCCACCAAUGAUGCUGAGUCACCGGACAAAGUUUUCCUUCCUCACAUUGUGCAGCCGUUCUAACAUCGAUGAGCUAAAUCUAUUUUUGGGGAAGCAAUAAUUCAUCUUCAUUUAAGUCAAAAAGGCCUGGGUAAGCACCAAGGUAGUUAGUACUGACUGCAAAAAUCAAGUUCUAUCCUUGAAUCAAUAACAAAUAUUUGUUAACCAUUUCUAUGCUCACUGUAAUUUUCCCUUCUUCCUUUAAAGGAAAAAAUAAAAAGCUCUGAUGUUGUGUAUUUGACAAAUACAGCUAUGUCAGACAAUAAGAUACAGUAAGAUCAGUAAGCAGUAAAUAACAUGCUACAGCAGUCCUUUUCAUAGAUAAGCUGCAGUUCCAGCCUGCUGAAGAUGUCAGAUUAGUCAGCCUGGCCUUAUUAGAUUUUCUUUUCAUCAAGAAGGUGCAAAAAAAAAAAAAAAACUUUGCUGAGAAAAAAAGUGUGUGAGCAGCUUUUACAUGGAUUGAGAAAAUGGAUUACAGAAAUAGGACCUCCAUUCAGGAAAUAGUCUUCAUCAGAACAGCUUCUAAGCACAUUACCUAAGAACAUACGCUUACAGUCCUACUGACAGAGACAGACACACAUUUCCAAGCUUUUCUGAUUUACAGUUACUAUUCCUUUCUUAUGCUGGGGGUCACGAGGGUCAUGGGGUAAAAAGAAGAGGCUUGGGCUUGCAAUAAUCAAUUUUACUCUGUCAUAAAUUGUGGACUGGUGCUAACCGAGGCACUUGCUAAUACGGGCAUUGCUGACUCCUUCCUGCUCCAAAAAAGGCCAGGUUUAACAGAUUUCCAUUUACAGUGAUACAUAUUUUACAUGGAAACUAAAGCUUAAUGAAGUAAUCUGCAUGCACUGCUCUCUAUGCUGGUAUCCCAAUGGAUUUCCAACAAAAUCUAAAUCAUGUCAAACAAUUAUACAAUAUUGCACCAAAACAGAUUUGCAGUAGUACUUACUUCU